GGCUUGCAAAAUAUUUGGCUAUUUUCUGAGCUAACUAUAUUCAAAUGAAUAUUUUAACUAAAGUGAUGUGCUACCUACAAACUCAAGAAAUGUCCUAAUGCCAUGAAUGGACAAUACUCAAACAACAAAUAAUAGUGAUCAUAGUCAUGUUGCUACUAAAAAGAAAAUAUCAACAUAGCUGUGAUACAAGCAGGUGGAAGUGAUAAGACAUUACUGGAGUCUGUUGAUAUUUUGCAGAUAAAGCCAAUUUCACGAAUUGAUGUAGUUUCUAAGAGGAAGAGAAAUCAAGGAACACGCCAAGUGUUUUACUGAGCUAGGGAAGAUGGAGACGUUGGGAGCGGAGAAAGGAGGUGGAUUAAAUGUGUGGCAUCCAGCAAGCUGUAAAUACAGAACUGAUGAAUUUCCUUCCCUUCCCCUGAAAUCAUGACUUAGCUCUCAGCUGGUGGACUCCAAAGGCAUCAAGCAAUGCAAAGGGAACUCACCAAGUUUAUAAAAACUGGGAAGCCAUGCUGUGCUUUCCUUGAAACACUGUCUUAAAUCUAUUUUUAACUUUUUAAAAUUACUCUAUCAUGUGGCCAUUUACAACAGCAAAUACACGAUACUCCAACCAAACAAAAACUCAGCAGGAAUCAGAGUGCCUGGUUUUUCCUGGCUGGUUGACCCCCGCCUCACAUGUAGGAGCUGUCAGAUCACGCUGGCAGACCAUUUCAAAUGCGGGUGGACUUCCCAAAAUCCACCAAGCCAACCCAGGCCUGUGAGGACAGCACUUAUGGAAGUGGCAGGGCCAAGGUGCUGAGUACCAAUCAGGGCAUCUUGGGUUGCUACUGAAUUCUUUUAAUCUGCUACUUUGAAACAACGAGGCUAAGAAGCUACCUCUUGUCCAAAUUUGCCACCCCCUUUUUCCUGACAAAGCAGUCAGUAUGAAGAGCAUAAGCAAUUAAGAAGUAAGACAUUACCACUCUAGCCGGUUUGGCUAAGUAGACAGAGCAUCGGCCUGCGGACCAAAGGGUCUCAGGUUCAUUUCCGGUCAA